ACGGCCAUGUCACGUUCCAACACAGGUUCAUAUAUGAUCACCGAAUUUAAGCAACGUCAAGCCUGAUCAGUACCUAGAUAGGUGACCACUUGGAAAUACCAGGUGCUGUAAG